rnacentral:rRNA from 1 species
CCUACGGGUGGCAGCAGUGAGGAAUAUUGGUCAAUGGGCGCGAGCCUGAACCAGCCAAGUAGCGUGAAGGAUGACUGCCCUACGGGUGGUAAACUGCGUUUAUAAAGGAAUAAAGUGAGGCACGUGUGCCUUGUUGUAUGUACGUUAUGAAUAAGGAUCGGCUAACUCCGUGCCAGCAGCCGCGGUAAUACGGAGGAUCCGAGCGUUAUCCGGAUUUAUGGGGUUUAAAGGGAGCGUAGAUGGGUUGUUAAGUCCGUGGUGAAAGUUUGCGGCUCAACCGUCAAAUUGCACUUGAUACGGGCAGCCUUGCGUACAGUUGCGGUCGGCGGAAUUCGUUGUGUAGC